AUACGGCGGCUCCGCCCUCUGCUUGCAGAGCCGGAGGUGAGCAGGAAGGAGACUGCCGCGCAGCAGCCCCCGGGCCCGCGGUAGAGGGGGCAGAGCCGGUGGCAGCGCCGAGGGACUCUGAGGCCUCGGGCGGGGGCCGGCCUGGAGUUCCAGGGGGGCUGCGCCAAGCAAGAUGAGGCGAUUCCUGAGGUCCGGACAUGACCCUGCUCGGGAGAGGCUCAAGCGGGACCUCUUCCAGUUUAACAAGACGGUGGAGCAUGGCUUCCCGCACCAGCCCAGCGCCCUUGGCUACAGUCCCUCUCUUCGCAUCCUGGCCAUCGGCACCCGCUCCGGAGCUGUCAAGCUCUAUGGUGCCCCCGGGGUGGAGUUCAUGGGGCUGCACCGGGAGAACAAUGCGGUGGUACAGGUUCACUUCCUGCCUGGCCAGUGCCAGCUGGUUACCCUGCUGGACGACAAUAGCCUGCACCUGUGGAGCCUGAAGGUCAAAGGCGGGGUGUCAGAGCUGCAGGAAGAUGAGAGUUUCAUGCUGCGUGGCCCCCCAGGGGCUGCCCCCAGUGCCACACAGAUCACCGUGGUCCUGCCACAUUCCUCUCGAGAGCUACUUUACCUGGGCACAGAAAGUGGCAACGUGUUUGUGGUACAGCUGCCAGCCUUCCACACACUGGAGGACCAGACCAUCAGCUCGGAUGCCGUGCUGCAGCGGUUGCCGGAGGAGGCCCGCCAUCGGCGGGUGUUUGAAAUGGUGGAGGCCCUGCAGGAGCACCCCCGAAACCCCACCCAGGUCCUCAUCGGCUACAGCCGGGGCCUCGUCGUUGUCUGGGACCUGCAGGGCAGCCGUGUGCUCUGCCAUUUCCUCAGCAGCCAGCAACUGGAGAAUGUCUGCUGGCAGCAGGACGGCCGCCUGAUUGUCAGCUGCCAUUCCGACGGCAGCUAUUGUCAGUGGCCCACGUCCAGCGACAUCCAGCAGCCAGAGCCCCUGCGCAACUGCGUGCCUUAUGGUCCUUUUCCUUGCAAAGCUAUUACCAAAAUCUUCUGGCUGACCACCAAGCAGGGGUUGCCCUUCACCAUCUUCCAGGGUGGCAUGCCACGGGCCAGCUAUGGGGACCGCCACUGCAUCUCGGUGGUGCACGACGGCCAGCAGACAGCCUUCGACUUCACCUCCCGUGUCAUUGACUUUACUGUCCUCACUGAGGUGGACCCUGCCGCUGCCUUUGAUGAGCCCUGUGCCUUGGUGGUGCUAGCCGAGGAGGAGCUGGUGCUGAUUGACCUGCAGACGGCCGGGUGGCCAGUAGUCCAGCCUCCCUACCUGGCCUCCCUGCACUGCUCUGCCAUCACCUGCUCCCACCAUGUCUCCAACAUCCCCCUGAAGCUGUGGGAGCGGAUCAUCGCCGCUGGCAGCCGGCAGAACACACACUUCUCCAGCAUGGAGUGGCCCAUCGAUGGUGGCACCAGCCUGGCCCCAGCCCCACCCCAGAGGGACCUGCUGCUCACAGGGCAUGAGGACGGCACUGUGCGAUUCUGGGAUGCCUCUGGUGUCUGCUUGCGACUGCUGUACAAGCUCAGCACAGUGCGAGUGUUUCUCACUGACACAGACCCCAGUGAAAGCCUCAGUGCCCAGGGCGAGGACGAAUGGCCCCCUCUCCGCAAGGUGGGUUCCUUCGACCCUUACAGUGACGAUCCCCGGCUGGGCAUCCAGAAGAUUUUCCUCUGCAAAUACAGUGGCUAUCUGGCUGUGGCAGGCACAGCAGGGCAGGUGCUGGUGCUGGAGCUGAAUGACGAGGAGGCGGAGCACGCUGUGGAGCAGGUAGAGGCUGACCUCCUGCAGGACCAGGAGGGCUACCGCUGGAAGGGACACGAGCGUCUGUGUGCCCGCCCGGUGCCCGUGCACUUUGAGCCCGGCUUCCAGCCCUUUGUGUUGGUGCAGUGCCAGCCCCCGGCUGUGGUCACCUCCUUGGCCCUGCACUCCGAGUGGCGGCUUGUGGCCUUCGGCACAAGUCAUGGCUUUGGCCUCUUUGACCACCAGCAGCGGCGGCAGGUUUUCGUCAAGUGCACACUGCACCCCAGUGACCAGCUAGCCCUGGAGGGCCCACUGUCCCGUGUGAAGUCCCUAAAGAAGUCCCUGCGCCAGUCCUUCCGCCGAAUACGUCGAAGCCGGGUGUCCAGCAGGAAGCGGCGGCCAGCCGGGCCCCCAGGAGAGCAGGUGCAGGAGGGAAGCGCCAGGGCAGAGCGGCCGGGCCUGCAGAACAUGGAGCUAGCACCCGUGCAGCGGAAGAUCGAGGCCCGCUCAGCAGAGGACUCCUUCACGGGCUUUGUCCGGACCCUCUACUUUGCUGACACCUACCUGAGAGACAGCUCCCGCCACUGUCCCUCGCUGUGGGCCGGCACCAAUGGGGGCACUGUCUACGCCUUCGCCCUGCGUGUGCCCCCUGCUGAGCGGAGAAUGGAUGAGCUGGUUCGGGCAGAGCAGGCUAAGGAGAUCCAACUGAUGCACCGAGCACCUGUGGUGGGCAUCCUGGUGCUGGACGGACAUCACGUUCCCCUUCCUGAGCCCCUGGAAGUGGCGCAUGACCUGUCGAAGAGCCCAGACAUGCAGGGAAGCCACCAGUUGCUCGUUGUGUCAGAGGAGCAGUUCAAGGUAUUCACGCUGCCCAAGGUGAGCGCCAAGCUGAAGCUGAAACUGACCGCCCUGGAGGGCUCACGGAUACGGCGCGUCAGUGUGGCCCACUUUGGCAGCUGUCGAGCUGAGGACUAUGGGGAGCAUCACCUGGCCGUCCUUACCAACUUGGGCGACAUCCAGGUGGUCUCGUUGCCCCUGCUCAAGCCCCAGGUGCGUUACAGCUGCAUCCGCCGGGAGGAUGUCAGUGGCAUCGCCUCCUGCGUCUUCACCAAAUACGGCCAAGGUUUCUACCUGAUCUCCCCCUCGGAGUUUGAGCGCUUCUCUCUCUCUACCAAGUGGCUGGUUGAGCCCCGGUGUCUGGUGGAUUCAGCAGAAGCCAAGAACCACAGCCGCCCCCGCCAUGAGAAGGCUGUGGGCCGUGCCAGGAUCUCAGGGAGCCAGAGUGGUGGAGAGGGUAAGGCAGGCCUCCGGGGCCGGGGACGCGCGGGGGCAGAGGCGUGGCGAGCACACCUGGGGCUGGGAGGUGGGGAAGGGGCCUCAGGCGAGCAGGUGGCGCUCAGAUUGGGAGCAGAAGCAGCAUCCCUUGUGUCCUGGACAAGGACGGAGCUGGGGCAGAGGGCCCAGGGCUCGCCUGACCUGGCUUCUACCCUCCAGAGAGGAGGCCUGGCCUCGUGAUGGAGCAUGCUCUGCUCAGUGACGAGAAGGUCCUGACAGCCAUCCAGAGCACGCUGGAGGGGGGCCGACGGAGCUCUGGCGAUUGGUAUUCUCAGCGACUGGCCAUGGGGUACAGCCUCAGCAAUGGGGCAGGGUCCUGCAGACCUUUGGAUCCAUUCUAGCCCUGACACAUGGGCCUGCUCGUCCUGAAAACCCAUGUCUGGUCUCAGGGCGGGUGGCCAAGGCCCCUUCCUGCCAAGGAUGCUCCCGAGUUGCUGUCACUCCCUUCACAGCAGACUGAGCGGGAUGCACACCCAGGCUGCACGAUGAACACACACUACUGAGGGCUCCUCCCUGGGGCACUUCGCCUGGGCAGGCAUGUGCCGGGGAGCCGGGAGCACCCCCAGUCCCCACCCUGCUGCUGCUCCUGGCCUCAGGACAGGAGGAGCCCCAGAGCCCUGGGGCUGUCCCUCCCUGUGUCUCGUCUGUCUCGGUCCCUUUGUCAAUGUUGCACAGUUUUUAUCCCCUCCUCCCUUUUUGUAGUCGGCUGGGUUUUAAAUUAUAAAAUGUAACUGUCUCUGGGUGAGAAAGAAUUUUUAAUAAAUACCUUAUUACCUCUUCA